rnacentral:rRNA from 1 species
GUGAGGAAUAUUGGUCAAUGGGCGCGAGCCUGAACCAGCCAAGUAGCGUGAGGGAUGACUGCCCUAUGGGUUGUAAACCUCUUUUGCAGGGGGGUAAAGUGGUUCACGUGUGGACCAUUGCAAGUACCCUGCGAAUAAGGAUCGGCUAACUCCGUGCCAGCAGCCGCGGUAAUACGGAGGACCCGAGCGUUAUCCGGAUUUAUUGGGUUUAAAGGGAGCGUAGGCGGGGGUUUAAGUCAGCUGUGAAAUGCCGUGGCCCAACCAUGGAACUGCAGUUGAAACUGGACCUCUUGAGAGUACAUAAGGAAGGCGGAAUUCGUGGUGUAGCGGUGAAAUGCAUAGAUAUCACGAAGAACUCCGAUUGCGAAGGCAGCUUUCCGGGGUACAUCUGACGCUGAAGCUCGAAAGUGCGGGAAUCAAACAGGAUUAGAAACCCCUGUAGUCC